AGUGAACGCUGGCGGUAGGCCUAACACAUGCAAGUCGAACGGCAGCACAGUAAGAGCUUGCUCUUACGGGUGGCGAGUGGCGGACGGGUGAGGAAUACAUCGGAAUCUACUUUUUCGUGGGGGUUAACGUAGGGAAACUUACGCUAAUACCGCAUACGACCUACGGGUGAAAGCAGGGGAUCUUCGGACCUUGCGCGAUUGAAUGAGCCGAUGUCGGAUUAGCUAGUUGGCGGGGUAAAGGCCCACCAAGGCGACGAUCCGUAGCUGGUCUGAGAGGAUGAUCGGCCACACUGGAACUGAGACACGGUCCAGACUCCUGCGGGAGGCAGCAGUGGGGAAUAUUGGACAGUGGGGGCAAGCCUGAUCCAGCCGUACCGCGUGGGUGAAGAAGGCCUUCGGGUUGUAAAGCCCUUUUGUUGGGAAAGAAAAGCAGCAGGUUAAUACCCCGCUGUUCUGACGGUACCCAAAGAAUAAGCACCGGCUAACUUCGUG
rnacentral:rRNA from 1 species